CCUACGUGAGGCAGCAGUGAGGAAUAUUGGUCAAUGGACGAGAGUCUGAACCAGCCAAGUAGCGUGAAGGAUGACUGCCCUAUGGGUUGUAAACUUCUUUUAUCUGGGAAUAAAAUGUUCCACGUGUGGGAUUUUGUAUGUACCAUAUGAAUAAGGAUCGGCUAACUCCGUGCCAGCAGCCGCGGUAAUACGGAGGGUCCGAGCGUUAUCCGGAUUUAUUGGGUUUAAAGGGAGCGUAGGUGGAUUUUUAAGUCAGGUGUGAAAGUUUGCGGCUCAACCGUAAAAGUGCAGUUGAAACUGGCAGUCUUGAGUACAGUAGAGGUGGGCGGAAUGCGGGGUGUAGCGGUGAAAUGCUUAGAUAUCACGAAGAACUCCGAGUGCGAAGGCAGUUCACUGGACUGCAACUGACACUGAGGCACGAAAGUGUGGGUAUCGAACAGGAUUAGAUACCCUUGUAGUC
rnacentral:rRNA from 1 species